CCUCUGGGUCACCUCCCACCCGUGUCUAUCGUACCUUGUUGCUUCGGCGGGCCCGCCGUUUCGACGGCCGCCGGGGAGGCCUUGCGCCCCCGGGCCCGCGCCCGCCGAAGACCCCAACAUGAACGCUGUUCUGAAAGUAUGCAGUCUGAGUUGAUUAUCGUAAUCAGUUAAAACUUUCAACAACGGAUCUCUUGGUUCCGGCAUCGAUGAAGAACGCAGCGAAAUGCGAUAAGUAAUGUGAAUUGCAGAAUUCAGUGAAUCAUCGAGUCUUUGAACGCACAUUGCGCCCCCUGGUAUUCCGGGGGGCAUGCCUGUCCGAGCGUCAUUGCUGCCCUCAAGCACGGCUUGUGUGUUGGGCCCCCGUCCCCCUCUCCCGGGGGACGGGCCCGAAAGGCAGCGGCGGCACCGCGUCCGGUCCUCGAGCGUAUGGGGCUUUGUCACCUGCUCUGUAGGCCCGGCCGGCGCCAGCCGACACCCAACUUUAUUUUUCUAAGGUUGACCUCGGAUCAGGUAGGGAUACCCGCUGAACUUAAGCAUAUCAAUAAGCGGAGGAA
rnacentral:rRNA from 1 species